CCUACGGGUGGCAGCAGUCGAGAAUCAUUCACAAUGGGGGAAACCCUGAUGGUGCGACGCCGCGUGGGUGAAGAAGCGCCUCGGCGCGUAAAGCCCUGUCAGCAGGGAAGAAAAUGACGGUACCUGAAGAAGAAGCCCCGGCUAACUACGUGCCAGCAGCCGCGGUAAUACGUAGGGGGCAAGCGUUAUCCGGAGUUACUGGGUGUAAGGGGGGCGCAGACGGCGAUGCAAGCCAGGAGUGAAAGCCCGGGGCCCAACCCCGGGACUGCUCUUGAAACUGCGUGGCUGGAGUGCAGGAGGGGCAGGCGGAAUUCCUGGUGUAGCGGUGAAAUGCGUAGAUAUCAGGAGGAACACCGGUGGCGAAGGCGGCCUGCUGGACUGCAACUGACGUUGAGGCCCGAAAGCGUGGGGAGCAAACAGGAUUAGAUACCCCGGUAGUC
rnacentral:rRNA from 1 species